AGAGUUUGAUCCUGGCUCAGGAUGAACGCUGGCUGUGUGCCUAAUACAUGCAUGUUGAACGAAGCUAAAAGUGCUUGCACUUUAAGACUUAGUAGCGAAUGGGUGAGUAACACGUACUUAACCUACCCCCAAGUUUGGGAUAACGUUUGGAAACGAACGCUAAUACCGAAUACGUAUUUUUAUCGCAUGAUAGAAAUAUAAAAGGAGCUUCGGCUCCGCUAGGGGAUGGGAGUGCGCUACAUUAGUUAGUUGGUAGGGUAAUGGCCUACCAAGACUAUGAUGUAUAGCGGGGCCGAGAGGCUGAUCCGCCACACUGGGACUGAGAUACGGCCCAGACUCCUACGGGGGGCAGCAGUAGGGAAUUUUCCACAAUGAACGAAAGUUUGAUGGAGCGACACAGCGUGCAGGAUGAAGGUCUUCGGAUCGUAAACUGCUGUUAUAAGGGAAGAAAAAAUUUGGGAGGUAAUGCCCAAAUCUUGACGGUACCUUAUCAGAAAGCGACGGCUAACUAUGUGCCAGCAGCCGCGGUAAU
rnacentral:rRNA from 1 species